AUGGUGUGGCAACACCCAGAUCCGCCGCCGCCACCAUCUGGAGGGGCCAGAUCUGGCGGAGGUACUGAAGAUCGAUGGGAGGCUGCGGCAAGGGCAAUGGGUGGAGACGCCAAGGCGCGGGCGAAUACGACGACGUCGACGGUUCAGACGGCUUCAUCGGCAACGGUGGAUGCUCCAGAUCCAGCUACCAAGGUCAACGACAAGCUCUGCCUCAACUGCAACCUCCCAGGUCACUUUGCUCCUCGCUGCCCUACUGUUCGUUGUGAGAAAUGCAAUAAGCUUGGGCAUAUGGUGCAGUUGUGUCAAACUCUGAGGCCGUGGGAAUGCGUACCUUUUCUGUGUGGUUUCCAAUCCCCUGGGCAAGGCUUUUUCUAUAUCCCUGAUUUGUGUGUUGCUAAGAAGAAUGAGGAAACGAACAAUGUAGUGAUUUCUAUUGUGGAGGGGAGUGCCACAGCUAAAGAAAUUGAAUCUGAGUUUAAUGGCUUCUUUGCUCAUAAGCCUGGUAAAAAGAAAUGGAGCCGUACAGCUCGUCCCAUUGGUCAUAAUCAAUUUGUGAUGAGAUUUCCUAAUGCUAGUGAGGUGGAGAGGGCCUGUUACUAUGGGAAACGCCUACCUGUGAAAGAUGGGGCUGCUGUGGUCAACUUAAAGCCCUGGUCAGCUUCUGUUGGUGCUAAAGGGGGAAUGGAAAAAGCAUGGGUUAGAGUUUGUAAUAUUCCUUUAGAGAAAAGAUGUUCUGAGCAUGUCGCAUAUGCAGGAGGGUUAGUAGGUAUCACUCUUGAGGUGGAUGAAUCUACUCUGCAUAAACCUGAGUACGUUAGAAUUCUUCUUGGAUGUAGAGAGGUGACCCCCCCCCACUGCUGA
rnacentral:rRNA from 1 species